rnacentral:ncRNA from 2 species
CACAUUCGCUAGGGGUGUUGCGCUGUUUUUAUAGAAAGCGGUGCGACUGAGAAAGUCCCUUUGAACCUGAUUGAGGUAAUUCUCGCGCAGGGAAGCAGAUCCAGCUUUGG